rnacentral:rRNA from 1 species
CCUACGUGAGGCAGCAGUGAGGAAUAUUGGUCAAUGGGCGCAAGCCUGAACCAGCCAAGUCGCGUGAGGGAUGACGGUCCUAUGGAUUGUAAACCUCUUUUGUCGGGGAGCAAGGCCCGCCACGGGUGGCGGGAAGGAGAGUACCCGAAGAAAAAGCAUCGGCUAACCCGGUGCCAGCAGCCGCGGUAAUACGGAGGAUGCGAGCGGUAUCCGGAUGUAUUGGGUUUAAAGGGUGCGUAGGCGGAAGGUAAAGUCAGCGGGCAAAUGUCGGUGGCAAACACCGGCCUGCCGUUGAAACUGGUCUUCUUGAGUGAGGGAGAGGGGUGCGGAA